CCUUGUACACACCGCCCGUCACGCCAUGGAAGUUGGGGGGACCUGAAGCCGGUGGGCUAACCCGCAAGGGAGGCAGCCGCCAAAGGUCAAUCCAAUGACUGGGGCG
rnacentral:rRNA from 1 species